rnacentral:rRNA from 1 species
GAUGAACGCUGGCGGCGUGCCUAAUACAUGCAAGUCGAGCGAACGGACGAGAAGCUUGCUUCUCUGAUGUUAGCGGCGGACGGGUGAGUAACACGUGGAUAACCUACCUAUCAGACUGGUAUAACUUCGGGAAACCGGAGCUAAUACCGGAUGAUAUUUUGAACCGCAUGGUUCAAAAGUGAAAGACGGUCUUGCUGUCACUUAUAGAUGGAUCCGCGCUGCAUUAGCUAGUUGGUAAGGUAACGGCUUACCAAGGCAACGAUGCAUAGCCGACCUGAGAGGGUGAUCGGCCACACUGGAACUGAGACACGGUCCAGACUCCUACGGGAGGCAGCAGUAGGGAAUCUUCCGCAAUGGGCGAAAGCCUGACGGAGCAACGCCGCGUGAGUGAUGAAGGUCUUCGGAUCGUAAAACUCUGUUAUUAGGGAUGAACAUAUGUGUAAGUAACUGUGCACAUCUUGACGGUACCUAAUCAGAAAGCCACGGCUAACUACGUG